UACAUGACAUUUCUCACUUUGGGGCAG
rnacentral:piRNA from 1 species